GACGAACGCUGGCGGCGUGCCUAACACAUGCAAGUCGAACGGAGUACCUUCGGGUACUUAGUGGCGAACGGGUGAGUAACGCGUGAGAAACCUGCCUUUCAGUGGGGGACAACAGUUGGAAACGACUGCUAAUACCGCAUAAUGUUAUUUGGGGGCAUCCCCGAAUAACCAAAGAUUUAUUGCUGAAAGAUGGUCUCGCGUCUGAUUAGCUAGAUGGCGGGGUAACGGCCCACCAUGGCGACGAUCAGUAGCCGGUCUGAGAGGAUGAACGGCCACAUUGGGACUGAGAUACGGCCCCAG
rnacentral:rRNA from 1 species